UACGUAGGGUGCGAGCGUUAAUCGGAAUUACUGGGCGUAAAGGGUGCGCAGGCGGCGCCAUAAGACAGAUGUGAAAUCCCCGGGCUCAACCUGGGAACUGCGUUUGUGACUGUGGUGCUUGAGUGCGGCAGAGGGGGGUGGAAUUCCACGUGUAGCAGUGAAAUGCGUAGAGAUGUGGAGGAACACCGAUGGCGAAGGCAGCCCCCUGGGUCGACACUGACGCUCAUGCACGAAAGCGUGGGGAGCAAACAGG
rnacentral:rRNA from 1 species